AGGUAAAAACUUAAACCAAUGGUCAGUUACGUGAAAUAUGAUACCCUAUUCUAGGCCGGAACGCUCUGCUUUAUAUACCCUAUGCAAGAGUAAACUGCUUGAAAACCGAACCCUUCACAGUUGCAGAUACCUAAAUAGCCCAUACAUGGCAGUAACACCC